rnacentral:siRNA from 1 species
UGUCUAACACGGACAUGGAGAUGA